UCUUAAAUAGUUUAAGUAUGUAACACAAUAAUAUUAGCACCGCGACCAACGAUGUCAAAGAUUGGGUGAGUGCGAUGGAGAAAUUUUGUAAAUUCACGAUAAACAGGUACUUAAAUUGAAGGAUGACGGUAGCUAUGUUAUAGUAAAAUUGAGACUACACCCGAUGACGCCGACGGCGAUGCCCCUGCCUAGGUGGUCAUGUCGAGGAUGCGGAGAAAGGACACGGCACUGAUGGCGAUCGUGGCCGGGUCUGGGAUUUGGCCUUCGAUGUCCUCGGGAACCGACUCGUGCAGCUCUUCGAACCCUGCUUCGAGUCGGAAUGGUCUGCAGCAGUGGAAGACGGAUUUGUGCUGCUGCAGAAGGAGGGGUAUUACCGAGGCCUUUUGCUGCUGGACAAGGCGAGAAAACUGCUCGACCUGGUCGUGGCCGCCUGCAUCGUCCCGGACUUAACGGUAUUGGUCCCGAACUGUCAGUACAGCAGUUUGGAUUCAGUUCGCUUGACCAUUGACGCGGUGAUGCAUAAUAUGAGCGAGACGUCCUUGUGGUGUCGCCGUGAGUCUGGAUAUAGUGAUGACCGUGGAACCUCCCUAUUCUACCAAGUUUCUGACACCGGGCGAAAAUCUGGCGUCGGAUGAAAGACAGCAAAGGGAAUAGUUUUGAGGGUGGGGCCCUGAAAACAUCAUUGGGCCCGCGGUCCGCUUCCUACAUCUACUUACCGUUAAAUCUACAAAUCCCCUACCUCACGUAUGAGGUUCGGACCCCUCCGAAAAAAAGGUAAGAUACGAAUUUCCAUUAGCCGUUCUAGAAGUAUGUAUAUUCGUCGGGUAAUGCCGCGAUUUAUGACGAUGUAGUCCCUUACUUCUCAGAAAUGCAAAUAUGGCUACAACCGCAACACCUUUUUCCAGCAAGAUGGAGCCACUUCUCAUGUUACAAAUGACACAUUAGCUGCUCUUCAAGAUUUAUUCCCUAGAAGAACGCAAUAAGUCGCCGAGGAGACAUCAACUGGCCACCGAGGAGCCCUGAUUUAACGCCAGCUGAUUUUUUUCCUAUGCGGCUACCUAAAAAGUAAAAUUUACAAUCAAAGAAGAAGAAAUCAAAUCAAUUACAACAAUAAAUAAAACGAGUUUUAAUAAAC